UACGGGGGGAGCAAGCGUCGUUCGGAUUUACUGGGCGUAAAGGGCGCGUAGGCGGCCACCGCAAGUCAGUUGUGAAAUCUCUGGGCUUAACCCAGAACGGUCAGCUGAUACUGCGGGGCUAGAGUGCAGAAGGGGCAACUGGAAUUCUCGGUGUAGCGGUGAAAUGCGUAGAUAUCGAGAGGAACACCUGCGGCGAAGGCGGGUUACUGGGCUGAUACUGACGCUGAUGCGCGAAAGCCAGGGGAGCAAACGGG
rnacentral:rRNA from 1 species